rnacentral:rRNA from 1 species
AUUGAACGCUGGCGGCAGGCUUAACACAUGCAAGUCGAGCGGAGAUGAGGUGCUUGCACCUUAUCUUAGCGGCGGACGGGUGAGUAAUGCUUAGGAAUCUGCCUAUUAGUGGGGGACAACAUUCCGAAAGGAAUGCUAAUACCGCAUACGUCCUACGGGAGAAAGCAGGGGAUCUUCGGACCUUGCGCUAAUAGAUGAGCCUAAGUCGGAUUAGCUAGUUGGUGGGGUAAAGGCCUACCAAGGCGACGAUCUGUAGCGGGUCUGAGAGGAUGAUCCGCCACACUGGGACUGAGACACGGCCCAGACUCCUACGGGAGGCAGCAGUGGGGAAUAUUGGACAAUGGGGGAAACCCUGAUCCAGCCAUGCCGCGUGUGUGAAGAAGGCCUUAUGGUUGUAAAGCACUUUAAGCGAGGAGGAGGCUACUGAGACUAAUACCCUUGGAUAGUGGACGUUACUCGCAGAAUAAGCACCGGCUAACUCUGUGCCAGCCGCCGCGGUAAAAC